UGGUGAAUGCCUUGGCGAUAAGAGGCGAUGAAAGACGUGGCACGCUGCGAAAAGCUGCGGUGAGGUGCGAGCAACCUUUGACCCGCAGAUAUCUGAAUGGGGAAACCCACCCUUCGGGGUAUCCUGUAGUGAAUACAUAGCUGCAGGAGGCAAACCCGGGGAACUGAAACAUCUCAGUACCCGGAGGAAAGGACAUCAAUUGAGACUCCGUUAGUAGUGGCGAGCGAACGCGGAUCAGGCCAGUGCUCUUAUCAAUCGAAGUGGAACCGUCUGGAAAGUCGGGCCGCAGUGGGUGACAGCCCCGUACACGUCAGUGAGAUAAGAGCCUCGAGUAGGGCGGGACACGUGAAAUCCUGUCUGAACAUGGGGGGACCACCCUCCAAGCCUAAGUACUCCUUGUCGACCGAUAGCGAACAAGUACCGUGAGGGAAAGGUGAAAAGCACCCCGACGAGGGGAGUGAAACAGACCCUGAAACCGGAUGCCUACAAACAGUUGGAGGGCUUCGUGCCUGACAGCGUACCUUUUGUAUAAUGGGUCAGCGACUUAAUUUAACGAGCAAGCUUAAGCCGAUAGGUGUAGGCGCAGCGAAAGCGAGUCUGAAUAGGGCGUCAAGUUCGUUGGAUUAGACCCGAAACCGAGUGAUCUAGCCAUGGCCAGGUUGAAGGUGCGGUAACACGCACUGGAGGACCGAACCCACGCCUGUUGAAAAAGUCGGGGAUGAGCUGUGGCUAGGGGUGAAAGGCCAAUCAAACUCGGAAAUAGCUGGUUCUCCGCGAAAUCUAUUUAGGUAGAGCGUCUCAUGAAUACCAUCGGGGGUAGAGCACUGGAUGGGCU
rnacentral:rRNA from 1 species